UACAGAGGGUGCGAGCGUUGUUCGGAAUUAUUGGGCGUAAAGCGCUUGUAGGCGGCACGUCAAGUCGCGUGUGAAAUCCCCAGGCUUAACCUGGGAAGUGCGCGCGAAACUGACGAGCUUGAGUGCCGGAGAGGGUCGCGGAAUUCCCGGUGUAGAGGUGAAAUUCGUAGAUAUUGGGAAGAACACCGGUGGCGAAGGCGGCGACCUGGUCCGAUACUGACGCUGAGGCGCGAAAGCGUGGGGAGCAAACAGG
rnacentral:rRNA from 1 species